rnacentral:rRNA from 1 species
CCUACGGGAGGCAGCAGUGGGGAAUCUUGCUCAAUGGGCGAAAGCCUGAAGCAGCAACGCCGCGUGCGGGAUGAAGGCCCUCGGGUUGUAAACCGCUUUCAGCAGGAACGAAUCUGACGGUACCUGCAGAAGAAGGUCCGGCCAACUACGUGCCAGCAGCCGCGGUAACACGUAGGGACCAAGCGUUGUCCGGAUUUAUUGGGCGUAAAGAGCUCGUAGGCGGUUCAGUCAGUCGGGUGUGAAAACUUCGGGCUUAACUCGAAGCAUGCAUCCGAUACUGCUGUGACUUGAGUCCGGUAGGGGAGUGGGGAAUUCCUGGUGUAGCGGUGAAAUGCGCAGAUAUCAGGAGGAACACCGGUGGCGAAGGCGCCACUCUGGGCCGGUACUGACGCUGAGGAGCGAAAGCGUGGGUAGCAAACAGGAUUAGAUACCCUGGUAGUCCACGCUGUAAACGUUGGGCACUAGGUGUGGGCUCUAACCAACGGAGUCCGUGCCGCNGCUACGCAUAGUCGCCCGCCGUCGGGAGGUACGGCCGCGAACGUUAAACGUACGAAGAAGUAGACGGCGNGAGACGUGCCGACGGACGACGACGAGGGAGUAGG